GCCGACGUAGCUCAGUGGUAGAGCGCUAGACUCAUAAUCUAGAGGUCGCGUGUUCGAUCCACGCCGUCGGCA
rnacentral:tRNA from 1 species